UGACCUCGUGAUCCGCCCGUCUCGGCCUCCCAAAGUGCUGGGAUUACAGGCUUGAGCCACCGCGCUCGGCCGAUAUUAUUCACUUUAAAGCAAAAUUAGUUAUGCCUUUGUUCUCCAGAUCUGGGGAUAUCUGGACACUCCCGUCUGGGGCUGUUUAGUAAACAUUGUUAAUUUGUUCCCUGAACUGUAAACGUCUAGAGGCUCAGAAUGCCUGACUUUCUAAGAAUGCAGCCCAGCAAGGCCCAGCCUCAUUUUCCAGCCCUCACUCAAGAUGGAGUUGCCCUGGUUCCAACGCCUCUGACAGUGGCACUGCGUGAAGGAAACUCUGGCUUUACAAAAUCUCCGAGGAAUUCUUCUCGGGGGUCUGGAGGCUGCUCCGGCGGCAGCUCCUCGGAUCUGUCUGUCCAUUAUAAUUUCAGAUGGAGACAGCUGGCAUUUACCCAUAAGGGCUGAUCUUAGGUGAAGCAAAAACAAGAAAGUGCUCCCAGUCAAGGAAGUUUUAAAACUUCAGUUAAUUUUGUCAAUUGAGUUUUGAUUAUUCUGCUUGUGCAUUCUACUAACCCAGAUGACUGGGGUGAUAGGCACAAUGGAAAUGCUGGAAAAUGGGCCAGAUUUUGCAUACUGACUGGAUUAUUUGUGCAGUGAAAUGAGUGCCUCUGUUGCUAUGAAGUUCUUGAGGAAUUCCCCAAGUCGAAAUAAUUUUCUCUAAGAUAACUACUUACCGCUCAGGCUGCUGCUUUUCUGCAUGGAAAUGCUUCUGCCCAUGAGAAAAUACACAAACCAUCACUAGGAUGUGCCUGUAUCUUUGUGAUGUUAGUAGCUGAAAAAAUCUAGUUGCCAGACCUCAAAAGGGCCUUCUGGUAAAGGGAAAUGACCUGGAGAACUGGGUCAAGGUUUCCUUGCAUUAUAUUCUGGGAAGACAGCAGUGACUGUAUACCUAAGAGAAACAGUUGGAGAAGGUUUCUGAUGACAUUGUUCUCCUAAAGAAAUCAAUAAUCUUAUCAGGGUCCAGUGAGUUACAUCGUGUAUGCACAUUAAGAAAGACGGCUGGGCCAGGUGCGGUGGCUCACGCCUGUAAUCCUAGCAUUUUGGGAGGCCGAGGUGUGUGGAUCAUGAGGUCAGGAGAUCGAGACCAUUCUGGCUAACAUGGUGAAACUCCGCUCUACUAAAAAUACAAAAAACUAGCUGGGCACGGUGGCGGGCGCCUGUAGUCCCAGCUACUCGGGAGGCUAAGGCAGAAUUGUGUGAACCCAGGAGCUGGAGGUUGCAGUGAGCCGAGAUUGUGCCAUUGCACUCCAGCCUGGGCAACACAGCGAGACACCGUCUGAAAAAGAAAAAAAAGAAAAGAAAGAUGGUUGUAACUUAGUUGGAAGUAUGAGUUGGAGAUUUGGAUUGAGCUAAUUUUACAUAAAAAUCUAACUUCCUUAAAGGCCAAAAUGGUUUGAUCUUUUUGUUCAGAUAGGUUUAUGGUCACCCUGUUUGCUAUACUAUCUGCUAACUGGCUUAUCUUGCUUUUUUGAGUGUCUUUGAAAGGCCUGGAAUCUUGAUAAUGGCUAAUGAUUUUGGCAAUAGUAUGGUUUCCCAUAAUUCAAAAAAAGGCACCCAUUUUUUUUGUGGGCUGACUAGAAAAGGUUAAAAAUCCUCUUUGUCUCCAUAGCAUUCCAAAAUUAUGAGCGACUCUGAGCGUAUCUGCUAUCGGUAUAAAGAUUAGCAGUUAUUCCUUUUGCCAACUGACAUGCUCUAAUUAAUGCUAUUUGUUUGUUGAGAUGGUUGCUCCUGGAAGACAAGCACUUUCCAUUUCUUUGGGCAAAGGCGCUAUGGCAUAGCCAGUGUAAUACCUUCCAGCUGCAUCCUUUAAGAAAGAGCCAUCUGUAAACCAAAUAACAUCAGCGUUAGUGAGGGGGGUUUCUUGUAUGUCUGUCCUAGGAGACAGCUGGUCAAAGAUGAUGCAGUCAUGCAGCGUUUCAGCUGAAGGUGGGGGAGAGGGUGGCAGAAUGUAGAUGACAUCUGGACACUGUAGUAUGGGGCUGAGAGAAUAACUUCAUAAGAAGCCAGUUACUAACUGAUCGUGUUGAGUGUGGUGCAGGUUUAGAAGCGCUUCCACAGAAUGUGGACUGAAAGCAGUGAGGGGUGAUGGCAUCCUUGGUGCUUUGGUUGCUCUUGCAGAGCUGUGAUGGUUGUUGCUUCAUGCAAGGAGGCAGUCCUUUAGCUGCAAGGUCUAGUUGUUGACUGUAAUAUCCUACAAGUCUGCUUUGUCUCCAUGUUUUUGAGUCAGAACGCCAACAAAUGUUUUACUUGCUAACAACUCUGGAACUUGAGCUGGACCCAGUCCCGACGGGCCUUGCAGACAGUCACAUGUGUGGCUGGCCUCAGCUGGGAUGUUGGGAUAGCUGGAUUGUCCUCCCUCUUCCAUUUCAUGGGAUCUUGGGAUCUCUUUCCAUCAUUUUUCCUUCAGGAAGUUGGCCUUUUAACAUGGUAGCUCACGGCUCCCAAGCGUGCACCCAUGUGUAAGCUUUAACGAUUGCACUGAAGAUGGCUUGGUGUAAUUGUCCGCUUAUCGAUCCUUUUCUCGGUAGGUCUUCUCCUGUUCUCUCACUCCGUACGUGAUUGAUUUAUUUUCCCAGGACGUCCCAGUCACCCGGGCCUGGGGGAGCGGCCUGCGCGGCGGUGUGAGGUCGGGCCUGAGCAGGGCGCCUGCUGGAGAGUAGCAGGUGACUUGCCACACCGCAUAACCCUCUGCACCCUUUAAACAGGCGGCUUUCAUCAGAAGCGUGAAUCAAACCAAUGCCGUUAACACACACGCCC
rnacentral:lncRNA from 1 species